rfam:Fonsecaea pedrosoi CBS 271.37 unplaced genomic scaffold supercont1.5, whole genome shotgun sequence.
GUAUCAUGAUGAUUUAUUCUACAAUUCACGACGGUCAACGUAGCUUAUGUUUUGACGACCACCGCCUGUGACAAGGCUUAGAUCUGAAU